GAUUAACGCUGGCGGCGUGCAUAACACAUGCAAGUCGAACGAUGAAACUUAAAUGAUUUCUUCGGAAUGAACUUAAGUGAAUUAGUGGCGGACGGGUGAGUAACGCGUGAGUAACCUGCCUUACACAAGGGGAUAGCCGUUGGAAACGACGAAUAAUACCCUAUGAAACUAUCACUUCGCAUGAAGCGAUAGUCAAAGUGUUAGCGGUGUAAGAUGGACUUGCGUCUGAUUAGCUAGUUGGUGAGAAAAAAGCCCACCAAGGCAACGAUCAGUAGCCGGCUUGAGAGAGUGUACGGCCACAUUGGGACUGAGACACGGCCCAGACUCCUACGGGAGGCAGCAGUGGGGAAUUUUGCACAAUGGGGGAAACCCUGAUGCAGCGACGCCGCGUGAUUUAGAAGGCCUUCGGGUUGUAAAAAUCUUUUGUAUAGGAAGAAAAUGACAGUACUAUACGAAUAAGGUCCGGCUAAUUACGUG
rnacentral:rRNA from 1 species